UCUGGAAGGGGGAAGGAUGUACAGCUUUAUGUUGCAUUAUUAUUAUUAUCAUAAGCGUAUAGCUUUUCCCCUUCUAUA
rnacentral:pre_miRNA from 1 species